AUUGAACGCUGGCGGCAGGCCUAACACAUGCAAGUCGAGCGGAGCGGCGGACGGGUGAGUAAUGCCUAGGAAUCUGCCUGGUAGUGGGGGAUAACGUCCGGAAACGGGCGCUAAUACCGCAUACUAUCAGAUGAGCCUAGGUCGGAUUAGCUAGUUGGUGGGGUAAAGGCCUACCAAGGCGACGAUCCGUAACUGGUCUGAGAGGAGGAUCAGUCACACUGGAACUGAGACACGGUCCAGAAUCCUCCUUGAAUCACCAUUUCUAAAUAUUGGACAAUUGGCGAAAGCCUGAUCCAGCCAUGCCGCGUGUGUGAAGAAUUUCUUCGGAUUUUAAAGCACUUUAAGCUGGGAGGCGUUACCAGCAGAAUAAGCACCGGCUAACUUCGUGCCAGCAGCCGCGGUAAUAC
rnacentral:rRNA from 1 species